CCUACGGGAGGCAGCAGUAGGGAAUAUUGCUCAAUGGGGGAAACCCUGAAGCAGCAAAGCCGCGUGGAGGAUGAAGGUUUUCGGAUUGUUAACUCCUUUUGUUAGAGAAGAUAAUGACGGUAUCUAACGAAUAAGCACCGGCUAACUCCGUGCCAGCAGCCGCGGUAAUACGGAGGGUGCAAGCGUUACUCGGAAUCACUGGGCGUAAAGAGCGCGUAGGCGGGAUAGCAAGUCAGAUGUGAAAUCCUAUGGCUUAACCAUAGAACUGCAUUUGAAACUGUUAUUCUAGAGUAUGGGAGAGGUAGGUGGAAUGCGUGGUGUAGGGGUAAAAUCCGUAGAGAUCAAGAGGAAUACUCAUUGCGAAGGCGACCUGCUAGAACAUAACUGACGCUGAUGCGCGAAAGUGUGGGGAGCAAACAGGAUUAGAUACCCGAGUAGUC
rnacentral:rRNA from 1 species